AGUACCACGGGACACGUGGAAUCCUGUGGGAAGCAGGGAGGACCACCUCCCAAGGCUAAAUACUCCCUGGCGACCGAUAGCGCACAAGUACCGUGAGGGAAAGGUGAAAAGCACCCCGGUGAGGGGAGUGAAAUAGAACCUGAAACCGUACGCCUACAAACGGUCAGAGGGCUAUGCCCGACCUCGGUCGGGAAGGCCUGAUGGCGUGCCUUUUGGAGAAUGAGCCGGCGAGUUGCUCUCUGUCGCCCGGUUAAGGCAGUGACAGCCGGAGCCACAGCGAAAGCGAGUCCGAAGAGGGCGUGGUGGGACUUCGGUCCCACAGGUGGCAGGGAGCAGACACGAAACCAGGUGAGCUACCCAUGGCCAGGGUGAAGCGGGGCUAACCCCCCGUGGAGGCCCGAACCUUUCACCGUUGCAAAGGUGUGGGAUGAGCUGUGGGUAGGGGUGAUAUGCCUAACGAACCUGGAGAUAGCUUGUUCUCCCCGAAAUAGCUUUCGGGCUAGCCUCGCGUGUUCAGUACCGGAGGUAGAGCACUGGAUGGGCUAGGGGGCUUAUGCUUACCAAACCCAACCAAACUCCGAAUGCCGGUACUCUAUAGCGCGGGAGUCGGACUACGGGAGAUGAGUUUCGUAGUCGAGAGGGGAAGAGCCCAGACCGACGGCUAAGGUCCCCAAGUCCAGGCUAAGUGGGAAACGAUGUGGGGUUGCUCAGACAGCCAGGAGGUUGGCUUAGAAGCAGCCAUCCUUUAAAGAGUGCGUAACAGCUCACUGGUCGAGCGACCCUGCGCGGAAAAUAUAACGGGGCUCAAGCCUGGCACCGAAGCCACGGGUCUCCGCUUUGAGCGGGGGCAGUAGGGGAGCGUUCUGCAGGCGGUGAAGCCGUACCGGAAGGAGCGGUGGAGCGUGCAGAAGUGAGAAUGCCGGCAUGAGUAGCGAGAAACGCGUGAGAACCGCGUUCGCCGAAAGCCCAAGGUUUCCGACGCAAGGGCAGUCCGCGUCGGGUGAGUCGGGCCUAAGCCGAGGCCGAAUGGCGUAGGCGAUGGACAUCCGGUUAAUAUUCCGGAACCACCCGGGUGGAGCGAAGGGGGGACGCUGUGUGGUAGGCCAGCCCGUUACUGGAUUCGGGUGCCAAACCGGUAGGGCGUUGAUGGGGGCAGGAAAAUCCGUCCCCGGAGCCCGAGGGGUGAUGGCGAGGCGCAAGCCGAAGUGGUUGAGCCAUGCGGCCAAGAAAAGCCUCUCAGCGUUGAAGCCCGGGUGCCCGUACCGCAAACCGACACAGGUGGGCUGGGUGAGUAUCCUCAGGCGAACGGGAGAACCCUCGUUAAGGAACUAGGCAAAAUGGCCCCGUAACUUCGGGAGAAGGGGUGCCCCGGUAGGGUGAAGGCCCACGCGGCCGGAGCCCGAGGGGGCCGCAGUGAAAUGGCCCUGCCGACUGGUUACCAAAACCACAGGUCUCUGCAAACUCGUAAGAGGAUGUAUAGGGGCUGACGCCUGCCCAGUGCCGGAAGGUUAAGGGGAGGGGUUAGCCGCAAGGCGAAGCUCUGAACCGAAGCCCCGGUGAACGGCGGCCGUAACUAUAGGCUGGACCGCUGUAGUUACGUUAAUAAACCUGGCUAUAUGCUGGGAAGCCCGGUGAAUCCUCCGGUACUCGCUCUCACUGGGAGCAGUGACAAUCCGUGAGGUGCGGGCAAUCAGCAGGAAAGGCUCCCAGAGAGCCCUCCAGGAGAUGAUCGGAUGGCCCUGAAUGUGAAACGCAUUCCGCCACACAUCGGCUACUAUCUGGCAGGGUUCGCCGAUGGGGAAGGGAGUUUUAAUGUCUCCUUCCGACCCCGUCAGGACUACCAGAUUCCCUGGAAAAUCUCUCUCUGCUUCAACGUUUCCCAGAGAGAUCGCGUCAUUCUGGCUCUGUUCAAACGGUAUCUCCAAUGUGGGACGUUGCGGCAGCGAGAAGAUGGGGUCUGGUACUACGAGGUCAACAAUCUGAAUGCGAUCUGCGAACAUGUGAUUCCGUUCUUUGAGCGGUUUCGCUUCCUGUCGGCGAAGAAGAAGCGCGAUUUCGCGAAGUUCAAGAAAAUCGCCCGGCUGAUGCAGGAAGGGCGACAUCUCACGGAAGACGGAAUGCGAGAAAUCCUUAAAAUCAGGGCCGAGAUGAACGAUGGAGGGGCCGGGCGGCGCAAAUAUUCCGAUGAGGAGAUUUUGAGCCGCCUGCGGGGAGAAUCCUCAGAGACCAUACGCCAGGCAUCCGCUGAAUCCGAGGAAGCCGCCGAUUCAGACGGAUGAUGAGAUGGUCCGAUCUCCGUGGCGACACGGAGGGCCCGGGAUGCCUCGGGCCGCACUGGCAGGGGCUUUCAUAGAGCCCUGCUGUCGGUGUAACGGAAUGAACGGUCCUAAGGUAGCACACGCUGCCUGCUCUCAUGGUAACAUGAGAGGCAAUACCCGGCUGUAUGCGGGGAAGCCCUUAGAGCCCUCGCCUACCAGGAAAAGGCUCCUGGUAAAAAUGGCAGGGAUUGGGUAAUCCGCAGGAAACCUUGUGAAGGGGAUCCUCAGAGACUAUACGCCGGGCAUCCGGACAGACCGGAUGAAGAUAUAGUCCACCCCUGAUAGAAAUAUCAGGAACAGGUGAGCGAAAUUCCUUGUCGGGUAAGUUCCGACCCGCACGAAUGGCGUAACGAGCGGGGCGCUGUCUCAACGAGGGACCCGGCGAAAUUGAAGUCGCGGUGAAGAUGCCGUGUACCCGCACCAGGACAAAAAGACCCCGUGGAGCUUUACUGCAACUUGGUACUGGGUUAGGGCUUAGUCUGUGUAGGAUAGGUGGGAGGCGGAGAAGCCGGGGCGCCAGCCUCGGUGGAGCCAACCUUGAAAUACCACCCUGGCUAAGUCUUGGCCCUAACCUCUGGCCGUAAUCCGGCAGGGGGACCGUGCCAGGUGGGCAGUUUGACUGGGGCGGUCGCCUCCUAAAAGGUAACAGAGGCGCCCAAAGGUCCCCUCAGGUGGAAUGGAAACCCACCGGAGAGUGCAAAGGCAUAAGGGGGCUUGACUGUGAGGCUUACAAGCCGAGCAGGGACGAAAGUCGGGCUUAGUGAUCCCACGGUACCGGGUGGAAGGGCCGUGGCUUACCGGAUAAAAGCUACCCCGGGGAUAACAGGCUGGUGAGGCCCAAGAGUUCACAUCGACGGCCUCGCUCGGCACCUCGAUGUCGGCUCGUCGCAUCCUGGGGCUGGAUAAGGUCCCAAGGGUUGGGCUGUUCGCCCAUUAAAGCGAUACGUGAGCUGGGUUCAGACCGUCGUGAGACAGGUCGGUCUCUAUCCGGUGCGGGCGCAGGGGACUUGAGGGGAGCUGCCCUCAGUACGAGAGGACCAGGGUGGACAGACCUCUGGUGUGCCAGCUGUCCCGCCAGGGGCAUCGCUGGGUAGCCAUGUCUGGCAGCGAUAACCACUGAAAGCAUCUAAGUGGGAAACGCGCCCCAAGAUGAGGUCCCCCACCGGGUAAACCGGGUAAGACCGCCGGGAGAUUACCGGUUUGAUAGGCGGGAGGUGGAAGCGCAGCAAUGCGUGGAGCCGACCCGUACUAACGGUCGAGGGCCUGCCG
rnacentral:rRNA from 1 species